rnacentral:tRNA from 1 species
CCUGGUGGCUCAGAUGGUAAAGAAUCUGCCUGCAAUGCAGGAGACCUGGGUUCGAUCCCUGCAUCAGGA